GGAAGUAAAAGUCGUAACAAGGUUUCCGUAGGUGAACCUGCGGAAGGAUCAUUAACGAUUGCUGUGCACGCAUAUUUAAAGACUCAUGGCUGGCUGGGUUUGUUAAACCCGUAAACUCCUGACGAGAUCAGGAAGGCGUUUGUCUAUCUCACUACUUCUCGCGUUGAGCGAGGAGAUGGCCAUCGUGGUCGUUGUGCUUCUGCGCUGCGAACGAUGUAAAACAAACAACCCAUGGACCCUCAUACAGUAUUAUUCUCUCGCCAUGGUAUACAGGCCUGGCAUAUGGUACGAGUCUCUUGCAGUCUCAAAACCAACCUUACAACUCUGAGCGGUGGAUCACUUGGCUUGUGGAUGCUAUGAAGACCAUAGCUAAGUGUGAGAAUGGCGGCGAGCCGUCGCUAUAUGCGCUGCCCUCUUCUUAUCACAUGUUGAAUGCAUAUUGCGCCCCACCCAGCGGUCGGCUAAACAACCUGCAGACAAAAGCCUGUCAGUUGGAACAAAGGCAAGUGUGUGGCCCUCGGGCAACGGCGGGGGAGCCAGGAGCACACGGGCGUGCGGACCAGCUACUCGUGAGUAGUCAGGCUGAACCCCAUGGUGGGGCACUCCUAGUCGAGUGUGGUGGAUCGGACUCACAUCUCUUGUUGCGCUUUGCGCUAUGGAGUUUGAGUUACUUUGUUGCUGGUGGCAUUUGGGUCGACAUCAGUCGUGCCCGUAAACAACUGCCUUGGCUCGUGCCUCUGCGCGUUUACCUCAUCCAAGGGGCGUGUAUUGAAAGGCCAUAGCUUGGCGAUCACUCUUGCGGCCAGGGCACUACAUACACCAUGCGAGACAUGGUUAUCGUGCGCAGCGGUCCAAAAGGAUAUCGUAAUACGAGAGUCGCGUCUUUGGUACUCUUUGCAAUCAGUGCACGGCGAGUUGGGUUGAUUGAUCCUUUUCCGCAUUCGCUUGUCUGGUAAAGGCUAGUCUCUCUCGUAUUAUUCGAGAAUUGACACAAAGGCCUCACUGCUUUCUUGUUCGCACACAUUUACGCAUGCAAUCUGACAGGGCAGAAACCGCCUGACGAGUUCAGGAUGUGUAUAUAUUUUUCGUUUGACCGACAAAAGUUCCUGACGAGAUCAGGACGAUUUUCAUAGAGUGUGAACAAAAAAGAAAGCGACAGACUUGCGACGAUUCAAUGCACCACCCAGCGUUCGAGUUGUGUGCAACGUUUUGCAAGAGAGACUGCGUCUCUCCGUGUUCGUUUUGAAGCCACCACCUCGACUUAGGAGAGGUUACCCGCUGAACUUAAGCAUAUCAGUAAGCGGAGGAAAAGAAACCAAUCAGGGAUUCCCUUAGUAGGGGCGACCGAAACGGGAUGAGCCCAGCGCAUAACCUCCCGGGCCACCCGGCCUGCGGCGGAAUUUUGCGUUAAGGGAAAGGUCGUAGUCAAACCCCACAGCCACGCGAACUCUAAGUUAGUCACGAAUUGGCUAUCCCAACUAACGGCGGGAAAAUCUCCACGGAGGGUGUAAGACCCGUGUGGGCGCGUGUAAAUGCUGUGUGGGCUCGGCCUCUUUUCCCUGAGAGUCGCGUUGCUUGAGCAUGCAGCGCUAAGCAGGUCGUAAACUCGAUCUAAGGCUAAAUAUUUCCACAAGACCGAUAGCGAACAAGUACCGUGAGGGAAAGUUGAAAAGCACUCUGAAGAGAGAGUCAAAAGACC
rnacentral:rRNA from 1 species